GAUGAAGAACGUAGCGAAAUGCGAUAAGUAAUGUGAAUUGCAGAAUUCAGUGAAUCAUCGAAUCUUUGAACGCACAUUGCGCCCAUUAGCAUUCUAGUGGGCAUGCCUGUUCGAGCGUCAUUUCAACCCUUAAGCCCUGUUGCUUAGCGUUGGGAGCCUACAGUACUGUAGCUCCCCAAAGUUAGUGGCGGAGUCGGUUUCACACUCUAGACGUAGUAAUUUUUUCUCGUCUGUAGUUGAGCCGGUCCCCUGCCGUAAAACACCCAAUUUAUCAAGGUUGACCUCGGAUCGGGUAGGAAUACCCGCUGAACUUAAGCAUAUCAAUAAGCGGAGGA
rnacentral:misc_RNA from 1 species